rnacentral:tRNA from 1 species
AUUCCUGUAGUGUAUUCAAGCACGUUAAAUUUUCGUUUUAAAAGAUUUUGUAUAAAACAUGAAUA